rnacentral:rRNA from 1 species
AAUGUAGGCGGUUUGGUAAGUCAGGUGUGAAAGCCCUCAGCUCAACUGAGGAAUUGCAUUUGAUACUACCGAACUUGAGGACAGGAGAGGAAAGUGGAAUUCCCGGUGUAGCGGUGGAAUGCGUAGAUAUCGGGAGGAACACCAGAGGCGAAGGCGGCUUUCUGGACUGGUCCUGACGCUGAGAUUCGAAAGCUAGGGGAGCAAACAGGAUUAGAUACCCUGGUAGUCC